GGGAGGUGGGAUGGGCAGAGGGCCAUAGCCCACCAGCGUUUUCCACAUCCUUCCAUUCCAGGGGUGGCUCACCCCCUUCAUUACCCUCCUGGGGGCAUCGAACUCUCGCCCCCUCCUCUUUCUUUUUCCAGGGGCAGUGGUGAGGACCCCGUCAGCAAGCUCUCUCUGCCACGUGCCAAACCCGUGUGUGGAUCAGUGAGUUCUGGGCUGGCAAGGCCUCUGAAGAGUCUCCUGGGCUCGGAGCUCCCCUUGAGACAGCAGGGGUUGCUGACAGAUACUGGGCCAGCAGGACUAGCCUAACAGUCACCUCCAGCUGGCGGGCCCCAUGCUGUGUGUCGGCCUCUGUGGCCCACACUUCCCAGAUGUCAUCCCAAAUGACUGGCUAAGCCCCGUGAGUAGAAACUAUUAUCCUUGUACCCCUUUUACAGGUGAGGAAACCGAGGCACAGAGAGGUUAAGUGAGUUGCCCACGGUCACCCAGAGAACGAGCCCCAUGCAGUGCCUGCAUUUAAACCCUCAUGCUGACUCCAAGAGAAGGCGAAAGUCGUCCACCUCACCCGUACCGGAAGAGGAAAGGGGUGACAGGGGGCAGCAGCCCAGAGCACCUCGGGAAGUGACUGGGGGCAGGGCCGGGACCAGGUCAGGCAAGCAAGGAGCAGAAGGGCAUUUCAAUGCAGUCUUUUUUCCUGUGCACGUUUGGAACAAUUGAGAACAGGUUCUAAUCACCAUUUUGUACUCUGCUGGGUACGAGCACACUCCUUCAGCAUGCAAGGAUUUGGUGAGUGUCAUUUUCGCAGCUACUCCAAAUUCCAUGACUUGGUGGUGCUACAUUUUACUUAGCUGCUCUCUGCUGUUGGACAUAACUUCCAGAGGUUUCCUAUGAUAAAUAAUUCUUGAACGCAUACAUCUGAGUCUGCGUUUGGGAUAGUUUUCUAACAAGAGAGUCUUAAGACAGACCUUCACACAUGGAAGGCUGUGGAUAUUUCUAAGGCUCUUGACACACAGUGCCAAUUUGCUCUCCCCAAGCGUACGCCAGUGGGUCCCCAGGUCAAUGGUGAAGGGGUUCAGAACAGGCCUCCCCAAGACGUGCCACUUUGGCAUGUGGGAUAUUUUGAGCUAAAGGUAAUCGAGACCUUGCAAGCUCAAAAGAAACUUUUACCUCUCCCUUAAAGAAUUUAAAUUGGGGGCCUUGCCCAUAAUAAGAGUUAUGACCAGAAAUAAAUUUUUAUGACCGAUCUGAAUGGCA
rnacentral:lncRNA from 1 species